rnacentral:rRNA from 1 species
ACCUGCGGAAGGAUCAUUGUCGUGACCCAAACAAAAAUAGACUGUGAAUAUGUCAUCCAUGCCAUCGGGUGGCGGUCCCAGCACUGUCUCUCGGCACAGGNCCCUUUCCUUCUCACGGAGGGGAUGUGGUCCAAAAGAACCAACGGCGCUGUAUAGCGUCAAGGAACACUAUGUUGCACGCUCGGGGCUGUGUUUGGCUUGCUGAACGAGCCAUGCGUUGCGGUGCUGACUGAAUGCAUAAGACUCUCGGCAACGGAUAUCUUGGCUCUCGCAUCGAUGAAGAACGUAGCAAAAUGCGAUACCUGGUGUGAAUUGCAGAAUCCCGUGAACCAUCGAGUUUUUGAACGCAAGUUGCGCCCGAGGCCUCUCGGUUGAGGGCACGUCUGCCUGGGUGUCACGCCAAAAGACACUCCCUUGCAAUCCUUGUGUGGGAUGUGGUGUUUGGCCUUCCAUUGUACCUAUAAUGUGUGGUAGGCUAAAGGAAGUGGCUGCUGGCUACGGUGCCAGUCACAGCACUUGGUGGAUGACACAUGUUGUUCUCGAAGUUGUGACUUGUGUACUGAAUUCAGUGACAUUGCCCCUUUGGACCCAUGGAUCGAGCAUUGAAUGCUUGCACCGCGACCCCAGGUCAGU